CCGGCCACAGCCGCCAAGACCAAAACUCCCCCCAUGUAACUGCCGGCCACCACACAACAACCAGAUCUCGCACAGACAACUGCGCCAGCGUAACCAUCAACUACAGCAGCAGGGUUGGGAAAGAUGUCACCCAUGGUUCUGAUGUGGCGCCUGGGUUCACCCUCGAUGACUCCAUCCCCGACAGCCACCGUGCUGCUUUUUUUUGAUGUCGCCGUAGAGGACACCGCUGACGUGCUGCUGCUCGACCUUGGACGACCUCGAUCAUGAGGUGGCUUGCAUAGCAAUCAAGUACUGCGUGAAGGCAGUGACACACCGGAAGAGGCAUUGGAGCUGUACCAAGACAUGUGGCGGCGCUGUAUCACAUGCUUUUUAUACCAUUCCCUUAGAACUGCUGCAAUGGAAGCCCUGGAAAUGACAAUCCUCUUGGAAGUGACAGGAAAAGAGCCAAUAUGCCAUAUCAGACUGAAACAUUUAUGGUGGAGCUGUGCUUUGCAGCUAAAAUUCC